rnacentral:lncRNA from 1 species
CUUGCAGAAGGGUGGGGAAGAAACGGUGUGUUGGUUUAAUCCCCUGAACUGAUGUCUGAAAGUGCCUGUCUUCUCCACCUGAGUGAAGAAGUGCAGUGUGGUUCCCUGUGUUAGGGAGCAGCAGCCAGCAGGCUGCCAGAAUGCCAGCUGUGCCUUUCAGCACACAAAGGGAUGUGAUGGGGAUGGACCAUCCUUAGCACCAUGCAAAAAAUGCAGAGCUGUCAGGCAGACCGGGAGGUCCUUUGCUGCCAUCGGAGCAGGAAUGAGACCAGUAGUGCUUUGUCUGAUGCAAACCGCCUUGCAGUGAAGCGCGGCCUUGCAGAAAGGAAGGGGAGGAGCAUGGAGUGUGGCAUGGCACUGAAGAGAGGUA